UCUAAUUCGAUUUGUUGGGCUGGGACCCAAUUUGGUUUGAUAAGCCUUUAGAAAGGAAUUUUAGGGAUUUAUUCCAGUAAUAAAUAUGAAUUGUUUUUAGGUAGGUAUUAUAUCAGCUUUGUGAAAGUCAUGCUUACCCUAGAGCUUCUAUUGCCUAGCCUUUUAAAUGCACAUAAAUUAUUAUAUUAAAUUAUUUAUUAUUGAAACUGAAUAAAAAAAGAAUCGGGUUACUGGUUUAUAAGCCCCCCACCUUGUUUUUUUUUUUUUUUUUUUUUUUUUUUUAACUCUUCAAUUGUAUCUAUUUCUCAGUUUAUCGUAUCUAUAUUAUUUCUCUUGGAAUUUUGUUUUUAAGUGUGAGCCCUGCAGAAGUGUUAUGGAUGAUUGCAAGAGCUGCUAGUGGAGGUCUCUCAUAUGGAAGAUGCUCUUCCUUUGAUCUGAGCCUUGAGGAUAACUGAUGCUCAGGGACAAUGCUUUUACCUCCUGAAGAGCAUCCUCAGAGGCUGGUCCACAGUCCAUGGAGUGAGGUUGAGGACCCAAAAAGGUAGCCUCAUUCUUGAUUUUGGCUGGCAAGAGGGGAACGCAAGGAACCAAAAUGAUCCAUUUCCAUACCAUUUCCUCUUCAAGGGUUUGAAGUCUAUUUUUUACCCUUCCAACCACUUUCUCUGCCUCUCUGUUUGGAUAAUAUAUGUCUGUGGACAAAGUGAGAGAUACAGAAGUUGGAGGGCAGAAGGAGAAUUUCCAAGUCGCCAAAACCUUUGUUCAUUCAUGGAGCAAACAUAUAUCGAAUGCCUGCUUAAUAACAUGGACAGUGCUAGGUACUGAAAAUACAAAUAAAUAAGAUGCAGUCUUUGCCUUCAAAAAACUCAUAGUCAAGUACAGGCAACAAAGAAGUCAAUUAUUGUGGUCCAGUGUGACAGGUGCUUUGAUAGAAGAUAUUGCCUGGAUAUUAUGGAAUCAUAUGGUGAAUGGCUAUCUAAACUCUAAAAAUCACGGAAGACUCACCUGGUAUUAGGUUGGUAUAAAAAUAAUUGCAGUUUUUGCCAUUUAAAAGUAGUGGCAAAAUUUCUUUUUCA
rnacentral:lncRNA from 1 species